rnacentral:rRNA from 1 species
UACGAAGGGUGCAAGCGUUACUCGGAAUUACUGGGCGUAAAGCGUGCGUAGGUGGUGGUUUAAGUCUGCUGUGAAAGCCCUGGGCUCAACCUAGGAAUUGCAGUGGAUACUGGAUCACUAGAGUGUGGUAGAGGGAUGCGGAAUUUCUGGUGUAGCAGUGAAAUGCGUAGAGAUCAGAAGGAACAUCCGUGGCGAAGGCGGCAUCCUGGGCCAACACUGACACUGAGGCACGAAAGCGUGGGGAGCAAACAGGAUUAGAUACCCUGGUAGUC